CCUACGGGCGGCAGCAGUGGGGAAUAUUGGACAAUGGGGGGAACCCUGAUCCAGCCAUGCCGCGUGUGUGAAGAGGGCCCUCGGGUUGUAAAGCACUUUCAGUGAGGAAGAACGCCUGGUGGUUAAUACCCAUCAGGAAAGACAUCACUCACAGAAGAAGCACCGGCUAACUCCGUGCCAGCAGCCGCGGUAAUACGGAGGGUGCGAGCGUUAAUCGGAAUUACUGGGCGUAAAGCGCGCGUAGGUGGCUUGAUAAGCCGGUUGUGAAAGCCCCGGGCUCAACCUGGGAACGGCAUCCGGAACUGUCAAGCUAGAGUGCAGGAGAGGAAGGUAGAAUUCCCGGUGUAGCGGUGAAAUGCGUAGAGAUCGGGAGGAAUACCAGUGGCGAAGGCGGCCUUCUGGACUGACACUGACACUGAGGUGCGAAAGCGUGGGUAGCAAACAGGAUUAGAUACCCCUGUAGUC
rnacentral:rRNA from 1 species